rnacentral:rRNA from 1 species
GACGAACGUUGGCGGCGUGCUUAAUACAUGCAAGUCAACUGAAGCAGUGGUAGCAAUAUCGCUGUGGAGGUGGCGCACGGGUGAGUAACACGUAGGUAAUCUGCCUUCAGGUCUGGCAUAACUCCGGGAAACCGGGGCUAAUAGCAGAUGAUGCAGCGGCUCGACAUCGAGACAGUUGUUAAAGCUAUGGCGCCUGAAGAUGAGCCUGCGUCUGAUUAGCUAGUUGGCGGGGUAACGGCCCACCAAGGCAACGAUCAGUAGCUGGUCUGAGAGGAUGAUCAGCCACACUGGAACUGAGACACGGUCCAGACUCCUACGGGAGGCAGCAGUAAGGAAUAUUGCUCAAUGGGAGAAAUCCUGAAGCAGCAACGCCGCGUGAGGGACGAAGGGCUUUUGCUUGUAAACCUCUGUAGUGGGAGAAAAAAAUCCCAAUCUUUGGGACAUGAUGGUAUCUCAAAAGUAAGCCCCGGCUAACUACGUG